rnacentral:rRNA from 1 species
UAUGUGAUCGUCUCUCGCAUAUCAAUAAGCGGAGGAAAAGAAACUAACAAGGAUUCCCCUAGUAACGGCGAGUGAAGCGGGAAGAGCUCAAAUUUGAAAUCUUAAAGGGUUUCCCUUUACGAAUUGUAGUUUAAAGAAGUGUUUUCUGUUGAGGUUUUGGUAAAAGUUCUUUGGAAUAGGACAUCAUAGAGGGUGAGAAUCCCGUAUUAGACCUUUACUUUCAACUUUGUGAUACACUUUCAAAGAGUCGGAUUGUUUGGGAAUGCAGUCCAAAAUGGGUGGUAAAUUUCAUCUAAAGCUAAAUAUUGGCGAGAGACCGAUAGCGAACAAGUACCGUGAGGGAAAGAUGAAAAGAACUUUGAAAAGAGAGUUAAACAGUACGUGAAAUUGUCAAAAGGGAAGCGUUUGACACCAGUGUUGUUUUUCUGAAAAUCAAUUAAAGAACUGUUUAUGCCUAAGUUGUUUAGACUUUAUCAGCUAUCUGUUUAGUUUUGAGCUUUUCUUUAAUGCACUUUUCAGUUAACAAGUCAACAUCAAUUUCUUUUGCUGUAAAAAGCUUGAGGAAGGUGGCUUGAGAUUCGUCUUAAGUGUUUAUAGCCUCUUGCCUAUGCAGUCGGAGAGAUUGAGGUCUGCAGGCGUAGAUCCUUCGGGGCUAAAUGCAUUUGUGCUAAGUUAUAGCAUUUUAUAGACAACUUGUUGACUAUGAUUUGUCUUGUAGCUUACUCGCUUAUGUUAUUUUACCUACGCUUAGGAUGUUGACACACGCGCGUGCUCG